AUGGACAUACGCCUAGACUGAAGGUCUCCCAAAGAAGGAUCCCAAAGCUCCAUACAUCACUUUCAGAAGUGUAUCUCCCUGAGGAAGGAGAGAAAGUGGAUAAUAUAAAUUCAAAGAAUAUUUCUGAGAUGUACUGUAUGCUGCCCUGAACCAUUGAUGAACUGAGGUCUCCUUCUCCAUUCUCCUGUCCAGCAAACUUUGAAAGAAAAUAAAUUUAAAAGCCCCUGUCUUAAUCGGAUGAAAAGCAGGCCCUGUGGAUAAGAGCGAUGAUGCUAGAUGGAGAAGAGCACACAGAGCACAAUGUGGGCUAAAUUAUCCUAUUCUGCAGAAAGGGAUGGAAAUGACGUUAUUCCAUCGUGUGAACUUCCUGGUUCAUUAUCAGUUUGGGAAAGGGGUGAAUCUUGAGAAGAUGACAGCAGAUGUGGAUGUUGCAUGAGUUGCAGUGAAACCCCACAGAGUUCAGGGCAUCUGGAAGGACGGGUAUCCCCUGUGUGCCUCUUCCAAAACAUGGCAACAUGACUCACUCAGGAACUACACCGACAGUGGCUCCCCUCAUGUUCCUACAUACUACCCUUCACGCUGAGGACAACAGAAGAUGCAGAAUAAUGGCUAUUGAGAAAACUGUCAGCAUUAACACCCACCGGAGUCCCCAAGUUAAUUCCAUACUUUUGCCAUGGAGCAGCUGUUUUCCACCUACUGCUAGAGGACAGUGAUGCAUGUUCAGCUCUUCCUCCACACUUCUGCACUUACCAGCCAGACUGGGCUGGAGUUUGUGUACCUAGCAGCAAAGAGGAUGACAUGUCUCUAUCAAUAAAACACUUCAUCCAACACUGAAAUGCAGCCACCUCUAGGCAUCUGUUUAGCAACCUCAAAGCAGAACUAUAGAACACUUAAGGACAUGACCUGAAGAAGUGUAUCAUAUCCAACUGAAAUUACACGGGGAAUUAGCUGUUUGAAAUCUAAUUACUUAACAUGGAAUCUGGCCAGGACACUGCAGUUAAUACUCUGACUUUCAAGAAAAGUGAGAUGGGAAUUUUGGUGAUCACGACUGGUUAAGAUCUCAGUUUUAUAUCUCCUCCAAAAGACAGCAAUACUUGAUAGCAUUACUUGGCUACGCUGUUUGGAUAGCUUCAUGGAAUAGUAACUAGCUACCACAGCCACUGUCCUUGAGCCUUCACAAAUACAAGCCUAUACUUUUCAUUUUACUUUCACUGGUAAUGUUGAUGACUUAACUUUUAAUUAGGGUUCUGUGUCCUUUGUUUAUUCUGUUCUACAGCACACUGAAGUGUCUGUCACAGAAUCAUUGAUUUCUAUACAGAAUCAUUAAAUACCAGUUUAACAUUGUUCACAGAACUGAUAACAUCUGAACAGGUAGUCCACCUCCAUGAUGACAAAGACAUUCACUCAGAUAUUAUAAAAUCAAUGAAACCAAAGCUUUGAUGCUGAAUUUAAAAGAAAACAUUAAUAAGGGAAAAGGCAUUUUUAACACUCAGACUUUCUGCUGGUUAGUAAUAUUUUUUUUUGUUUUUAAAGUGGGUUCGUUAUACUGAGCUAAAGCACUGUCAUAUUCCUGGUUUUGUACUAUUAUGAGUCAAUAAAAUAGUUCAAGGCAGAAUCUAAAGUGAGAAAACACACUAGGGAUAGAUGGAAGAUACUGGAAACAACUUAAAAGGCGCCCAAGUAUUCAUAACCAUCAUAAUACAAGUUGGCUGUUCUGUCAUUUCCACCCCCACUAUAAUAAAAAGUAUAUAUUUAAAGCAGAGAACACAAUCCUACUAUUGAGCAAUGCAGUUCUUACCUGAAACUCAGCCAUUUUUAAAGUUUUCACCAUUCCUCCUGCAAGUUAGUAUAAUUUGUUGUGGCUAGAAUGUUUCAAAUGCUUUUAGAUCAGCUUUACGGCAGGAGCUAAGAAUGUUGUGGAGGGAGGCACCAAGCUCAUCCCCUGGGACAGGGAAAAGAAGAAACAGAAGAGAAUGCCUUGUUCUCUCACUAGCUAACUCUCUGAUGCCUCCUGGAACAGUGCUGAUGGGCUCCAGUAGGAUUCUAGUCCAUCUCCUCUCUGCUGGAAAGAGGAUGGUAUUUGCACAGUCCUUGAGGAUGAAAUGCAUACAACAGUGACAAGCAAACCUCAAGCAGGAACUACCAUACAUAUCAGAACAAUGGUUCAUCUAGUCCAGUAACCUGCACCAGCUACAUCGAAGGAAGGCCCAAGAAACCCUUGGACAAUUAUGGAAUAACUUGCCUACAGGGAAUGUUUCUUCCUAACCCUGGCCAUUUAGCGCUUGGUUACUGCCCUGACACAUGAGAAU